rnacentral:rRNA from 1 species
CGGCUGUGCUGGCUCGGUUGGGCCUUUCUUUCUGGAGAACCUCAUGCCCUUCACUGGGUGUGUUGGGGAACCAGGACUUUUACUCUGAACAAAUUAGAUCGCUUAAAGAAGGCCUAUGCUCGAAUACAUUAGCAUGGAAUAAUAGAAUAGGACGUGUGGUUCUAUUUUGUUGGUUUCUAGGACCGCCGUAAUGAUUAAUAGGGACAGUCGGGGGCAUCAGUAUUCAAUUGUCAGAGGUGAAAUUCUUGGAUUUAUUGAAGACUAACUACUGCGAAAGCAUUUGCCAAGGAUGUUUUCAUUAAUCAGGAACGAAAGUUAGGGGAUCGAAGACGAUCAGAUACCGUCGUAGUCUUAACCAUAAACUAUGCCGAUUAGGGAUCGGACGGUGUUAUUUUUUGACCCGUUCGGCACCUUACGAUAAAUCAAAAUGUUUGGGCUCCUGGGGGAGUAUGGUCGCAGGGCUGAAACUUAAAGAAAUUGACGGAAGGGCACCACCAGGGGUGGAGCCUGCGGCUUAAUUUGACUCAACACGGGGAAACUCACCAGGUCCAGACACGAUGAGGAUUGACAGAUUGAGAGCUCUUUCUUGAUUUCGUGGGUGGUGGUGCAUGGCCGUUCUUAGUUGGUGGAGUGAUUUGUCUGCUUAAUUGCGAUAACGAACGAGACCUUAACCUGCUAAAUAGCCCGUAUUGCUUUGGCAGUACGCCGGCUUCUUAGAGGGACUAUCGG